UCCCCGAUUCGUUGCUCCGUCCGCAUCGGUGAGUCUCCUGCUCUUGUCUCUAUCCGACGACCUUCCUUCCGCCAGUUCCGUCGUCUCCAGCAGCCUCCCGCCUCUCUACCCGCGCAGGUCGGCUCCCCCGACGUCUCCGCGUCACCACGUGGAGAGGAACUGCGCGGUCUACGCCCCUCGCCUCCUGGGCGUUGCUCUCCGCCAGUGUUCAGUGAGCGGUGGAGUAGGCAUCCUCUCAGCCGGCUUCCACACGCUUCAGGCUUCAUCGUGCACAAAGGUAGCUCUCAUCCCCUCAUGCAGAAAAUCCGAGCACUCAAUCCACACGUGCCUUCUUUUGCUAUGGGAUUAUGCUCGCCAUCUGUUCCAUGACAUUGAUGACUCUGUUUUUGUUCUUCUUUUGUACAUCAUUCAUACCUUUUGCUGCUGGAAAUUUGCAGUUAAUAAGUAAUGGUGGUUGCUGGCUUGCUGCAGACCGAUGGUGAGUAGUGAAACCACUGUUGUUCACUGACACAGUGACUCAGCCUGCAUCUAGGUCUGGAAUGCCUCCAUUUUGCUCCUUCGUGUCCAAAUUUUGUUGGACAUAGAAGUCCAAUUAGUUAUAUGUGCUUCCAUUUCAAUUUCACAGGCCCCUUCAUCAAGAGUUCCAUCUCUCAUUAUCAUAAACAAGAGCCGGUGGCCAGGACACACGGCGGAGGUCGCCUGCGUCUCCCCAGUCGCCCUGCCACUGCUUCCUUCCUUUUCUCUGCGGCAGGAGAAGAAAGCCUUGUUGGGGUGCCCAAGCCAUGGAGCACCAUCGUCAAGGUCUCGGAUUCGUUUCAAUUUUGGGCUGCUUCUGCUCAUGUUGUUGGUUGCUCUCUUCUCUUGUGUUGGUGAUGAUGUGAGGGUGGCCCUUCCUUUUCUUUGCUACAGUGCAGGAGAAGAAAACCCUAGACCGACCCGAGGAUUUGUCCGACAACCACCUGAGGAGGAAGUAAGCCAUGGACGGACCUCCCUUUCCUUGAAUGCUGCGCCCUCCCACCCAUCUUCCUGCAGCUGCAGGUAACCCCGGCCCCUUCCUCCCUGCGUGCACAUGCUAGUCUGGUCAUUACCCUGGCUGCAUACAGUAGCAGUAAACAUUGUUAGCUUAAUCCAAACUUAUUAGUCUACAAAUCUACAUCGGUGUAGUAGUCUAGGAAAACUAGCUUGAGUCGAUUUGCUUUUCUUGUGUUACUAGUGUCCGGCCAGAAUUAGUAAGGUGUGAUCGACGUGGCCGUAUAAUUAGAUUAGGAAAAGUAUUAACUUGAGUCCGACUAGGACUUGUCCUAGCUAUCUAGCUGCGUUGGUAGGAGUAUAAUACCAGGAUUAGGAAUUUGCAGUCCAAGUCGGUUAAUAGGUGAGUCUGAUUUGACUAGAACCUGUAUCCACUGGUGGUGGCUGCGUCCAUAUAUAUACACCAGCUGGGUUCAUUCAAUGGAGUAACCUACACUAGCUCAUUCACUACUAGUUAGAUCAAUGGAGUAACCUGUUAUUUCCUUUGCAUUCGCCUCUUCUCCUCUCCACCUUUACCCGGUGGAGAAUCAGUUGGGCAGAUCAAACCUCCUGCAUCCUAUUCCUAUUGCUGGAGACAAGAACUAUUAGUCCAUCGCUCCUGGCCAGCUGCUGGACGUGAUGCUGUCUGGCCGGAAGUAGUAGCAGACUCUCAAGCCAAUCCAUCGCAUGCAUGCAUCAAUUGAAUCCACCGUUGAUCAUCAGGGCACUGUCCCAUGCAUAUAUAAGUUGAUUCGGCAAGAAACAUACCAAUCUUAUAUCUGUAAAAAAUAUUUCUAGGAGACCACAAUUCAGAGUAUAAUAUCUAUCGGCAAACUUCUGCAUGGAACUUAUAUUUUUAUGCUAAUAACGAAUUAUAUGUGUAAUUAACCUCGAUUUUUUUAUAAGCUUUAACCUCGAAUUGAUUCAUCACACUGUGGUUAUCUGGGGCGUUUAGUUAUCUCCGUGUUGCCACAAAACUAUGGUAUUCUAGAAAAUAUAAGUACAAUCGAUUGUGCUCAAGGACAAGGGAGAAUUAAAGUGUCACAUUUAGAGCUGUAUUAUCAGAUUGAGCCGGUGCAUGAUUUCUAUAUACAAUUUUGUUUGUUCUUAUAUGUCCUUGGGACUUACUAUUUCCAUAUUUUCUCUUAGGAAUUUGUGAGCUGGAGUUGCAAAAUUUGGAGUUCUCUUGACUUUGAACAUUGCAUUGGCCGCAAAGUGUAGAACGCAGAGGGUACUCCUCAUAAGAACACCUACAUGAACUUAUUUCCUUUGGUAACCUGCUCUGUGUGUGUCUUAGAAAAUAUAUCUAGGUGCAAUGAUAUUCACAACUUAGCAGCAUUUGCAAAAGUAAAGGUUCAAAAGGUAGCACACUCAUGAUAGUGACACAUAUAAUCUUGCAUCCAUUCAAACGAAACUAUAAUUGCAUACGAGUUUACCAUUUUUCCUACAAUGCAUGGCAUCUUAUAAUCCAUUCAAAUAUAUUGUAUCAUUUCAUAUUUUUUAUUAUUCUCAAAGUUUAAUUUCUAGCCCGUGCAGCAACAUGGGUUGAUGACUAGUAUCUAGAAUUAUGUUAUGUUAAAGGAGCAUCUAGAUGCACACUGUUGUGGCUGCCAUUAAAUGCAUGUCUUCUCAAAUUAUUUAAAAGGAAGUGUUGCUGCUGUGCCAUUUAGGUAGUUUCAACAGAUAUGAUGUGCUUGGCUGUUAAUGUUUUAGUGUGUGCUUCUCACCUGCUGUAAAAGGCCAAUUCGGGCAUUGUAGCUGCUUCGGUAUUUGAUCUUCAUAUAUUUUGCUUUUGCAAUAUCCUGUUCUAACAUCUGAAAAUGGAAUACUUUAACAAUAUAAUCUUCCUGACUUUCUGCAACUGAUUUUUGCUGUAGUCCAAAAUUAUAUGUUUGUGUUUAUUGCCUCCUGUAUUUAGAGUAGAAAUAUUCUUAAUAUAGUGUUUCUUGAACAUGGCCAGGGCAAUGGAUAAAAUCUACUCUGGAUAGUUGACAGAGGGAGUACAUGCUAAGUUGACUUUUUUCCUGCGGAUUUGCUUAUCGUGAAGAUGCUUGCAAGGAUGCAAAGGGAGUGGAUCAUUUGGAGAGAUAGGAUGCCACUGUUUGGUGUUUUUAUGCAUUUUGGUUUGCUUGUAACUGUGUUUGCACUAGCUGGGAGUAAGUGACUUCAAGAAGUGUAGGUGUUUUAAUUGAAGGCAUGAAAAGCCAUGACAAUAUGUAUGCUCUUACAUGAUGUGCUCUAAUGCUGCUGGUUUAUUAUAAAUCUUGGAUUAGUAAUGAUGUGUAAUGAUGUUGGUUUAUUGCAAAUAUGUGUUUGUUUUAGUUGGAAUUGUAUGCAUAGAAUGGAAUUGGUGGAUUUUAUUUUUU
rnacentral:lncRNA from 1 species